ACAUGCCUACAACAUAGCGUUAAUGCAUUGAAUCCCAUUAGAACUCCACAGCUAUGCACACUCAUGCUAGAGUACUACUAGGAUGGGUGACCACCCGGGAAGUCCUAGUAUUUUACAUGCC
rnacentral:rRNA from 1 species